rnacentral:rRNA from 1 species
GGCGCACGGGUGCGUAACGCGUAUGCAAUCUGCCUUUCACAGAGGGAUAGCCCAGAGAAAUUUGGAUUAAUACCUCAUAGCAUUAUAAGAUGGCAUCAUUUUAUAAUUAAAGUCACAACGGUGAAAGAUGAGCAUGCGUCCCAUUAGCUAGUUGGUAAGGUAACGGCUUACCAAGGCGACGAUGGGUAGGGGUCCUGAGAGGGAGAUCCCCCACACUGGUACUGAGACACGGACCAGACUCCUACGGGAGGCAGCAGUGAGGAAUAUUGGUCAAUGGGCGCAAGCCUGAACCAGCCAUGCCGCGUGCAGGAUGACGGUCCUAUGGAUUGUAAACUGCUUUUGCACAGGAAGAAACACUCCGACGUGUCGGAGCUUGACGGUACUGUGAGAAUAAGGAUCGGCUAACUCCGUGCCAGCAGCCGCGGUAAUACGGAGGAUCCAAGCGUUAUCCGGAAUCAUUGGGUUUAAAGGGUCCGUAGGCGGUCUUGUAAGUCAGUGGUGAAAGCCCAUCGCUCAACGGUGGAACGGCCAUUGAUACUGCAGGACUUGAAUUAUUGGGAAGUAACUAGAAUAUGUAGUGUAGCGGUGAAAUGCUUAGAGAUUACAUGGAAUACCAAUUGCGAAGGCAGGUUACUACCAAUGGAUUGACGCUGAUGGACGAAAGCGUGGGUAGCGAACAGGAUUAGAUACCCUGGUAGUCCACGCCGUAAACGAUGGAUACUAGCUGUUGGGAGCAAUCUCAGUGGCUAAGCGAAAGUGAUAAGUAUCCCACCUGGGGGAGUACGAACGCAAGUUUGAAACUCAAAGGAAUUGACGGGGGCCCGCACAAGCGGUGGAGCAUGUGGUUUAAUUCGAUGAUACGCGAGGAACCUUACCAAGGCUUAAAUGCAGACUGACCGAUUUGGAAACAGAUCUUUCGCAAGACAGUUUACAAGGUGCUUGCAUGGUUGUCGUCAGCUCGUGCCGUGAGGUGUCAGGUUAAGUCCUAUAACGAGCGCAACC